CCGCGGCCGUGAGCAAAUGAUUCACCAAGUGCGGGACUUUCCAACAUUCACUUAUCAGAAGCGCUAUUUGUGUGUGAGUACAUUCUCUGAUUGUACUCUUUCUAUUUUAGGAUAGCAUGCGUGGUCCUUAUCAGAGGAACUCCACUAGAAUCAUUAAUCGUUAAAAUGUUCCGAAUGAGUCACGUUAGACUGUUCAUCUAACUCCGAAAGAAAGACACAGAAUUUCUUCCCUCAUGUGGGCUGGACAGAUGAGGCAAUCGAACUAGAUGGGUUCAGAAUUCAUAAAAUCGAGGGCACGGGAGUUUUUAAAAUCUAAAAUAAUCAUUCAGUUUCUUAAGAAUUAACUCAUUAAUUCGAUGGCGGAUGUUUGCAUACACGGGAGCCCUGGGGAUUAUUUUCUUGAUCAAUAUCCACACUGGUAUAAAUGAACGGUGGAGGUGGGAUAGGCGGCUCGGUGGCGAAGAGUGAAAGUGCUUGCUGAUUCCCAGCAUCCAAAAUCCACAGGCAACGGUGGGCAACUCCAAGGUCCAGGACAACGGUGGGAGAAAUUCAGACCCAGAGCUGAUCUGCUAAGGAAUGGCUUCUUUUCCAAGAGCUAAAGCAUCAUUUUCCUCUCUUCUCUGCUUUGCAGAGUAGAUACACCAUUUCUACCUCUUCUGCCUUUCACAGGCAUUCAUGCCGGUGCCACAGCGUGCAUGUGGAGAGCACAGGAUAAACUCAGCUAAUGGUCUUUGCCUUCUGCCUUGUUGGAGGGAGAGUCCCUGGCUUGAGUCACAGUUUAGCUGGCCUGUGAGCAUCUACCUGUCUCUGCCUGCCUUCUCACCAUGAGUGCUUUGUUACUAAUGAAGGCAACUACAGUAUCAGGAUUGUACAUGCUUCCAUGGUUCUGAACUCCACUCAAGAUUGCGUGAGCAUAAGAGUUUUCUGCUGCCUCUGGAACUUUUCUACAAAUUCCUCAAAAGGGACAGUGCUCAAGAC
rnacentral:lncRNA from 1 species